GAAUAAUUUUGCUUAAUGUAGAAAUUAAAGAUAGCAUUUAUACUUUAGUGAAUAUUUAUGCUCCAAAUUUACCAAAGAACAGAAAUGUUUUUUUCAAAAAAGUAAAGGAUAUGAUAUCAGAGAAUAGCUUAGGGAUGGUAAUUGUUGGUGGAGAUAUGAAUGAUACUCUAUCAAUUAUUGACAGAAAAAAAUACAGCACAAAUAAAAAAACACAAAAACCAGUUAACAGUUUAAAAAAUCUAAUUAAAACACUAAAGUUGAUAGACAUUUGGAGAGAGACACAUAGUAACAAUACACAAUUUACAUGGAGACGCAAAAACAAUAUAAAUGAAGCCUCUCGCAUAGAUCUCUUUCUUAUAUGCCCAGAAAUAAGAUCACAUAUAUACUCAGCAGAUAUAAGACCUGCACUUAUAUCUCACACAGACCACCAAGCUAUAUCACUAAAGUUGAAAGGGAGAUCACAAUCAAAAGGGAAAGGAUAUUUUAAAAUUAAUAACAGCAUUUUGGAUAAUAUUGAAUAUAAAAACAUAAUAAAUGGCCUAAUUCAUAAAUAUAAAAACAAUCCAAAACUUACCAAAAAUAUUGGACACCAUUGGGACUUAUUCAAAAUUGAGGUCAAAGAAUACACCAUUGAAUACUGUAAAAGAAAAGCAAAACAGAAUAUAAGUGAAAUACAUGUAUUGGAAAAUAAAAUUAAAAAAUUAAAUGAAAACAUUAAUAAACAUUGUAAAGAUGAGGUAAUAAAGCAUUUUCAUGAAGAAUUAAUUAACAAUGAGAAUAAAUUAAAGAAAAUAUAUGAAAUAAAAACAAAAGGAGCUCAAAUCAGGUCACGAAUUCAAUGGGUAGAAGAAGGGGAAAAAAAUACUAAAUUCUUUUUAGGUUUAGAAAAAGCUAGACAAACAAGAAAAACUAUAACUGCACUAAGAGAUAAAGAAGGAGUGAUACAAACUGACUCAUCCAAAAUUUUACAAUUAGAGACAGAAUUCUAUAAAGAUAUUUAUAAAAGUACAAAUCCAGAUAUAAAAUCUAUAAAUGAUUAUAUUAAUGAUACAAAUAUUGAUCAUAAAUUAACAACACAAGAGAGUGAUAUUAUGGAAGGAAAAUUAACUAUAGAUGAAUGUACAGAUUCACUAUUUAAGAUGAAAUUGAACAAAGCACCUGGAAUUGAUGGUUUAAGCGUAGAAUUUUAUAGAACAUUUUGGGAAGAAUUAAAAGAAUUCAUUGUAUCCACAUUUAAUUUUUCAUAUAAAAAAGGG
rnacentral:lncRNA from 1 species